CCAAUCUGCAGUUAACGGAUAAUUUUAAGUGGAACUUAGGUGACACCAGAUUUCCUUCUUCAGUGUGACAGCUGAUCAUAUUUUGGGGAGUAGAGUUACCACAGAUACCAUAUUUCCAUUGCAGACUGUUUCGGGGUCCCAGACUCCUUGGGUACCAUCCAGGUCAUUCAUGUUUCGAUGAGAUAUACACAGAUGCUGAAGUGCUACCAAGACCGGAAGAGCCAGGACCAGCUUCAUCCUUUGGAAUGCUCUGCAGGGAAGAGCGCGGGUUCAGAACUUCGGCAACUGCAGAAACUUCUAUGCCACAAAGCCGAUUUUUUUAAACAUUGAAGAUUCAUGGUAGGGUACUAAAUCUGGCUGUAACAGCAGGCUUCACAGCCUGCUCCUCUCGCUUCCUCCUCCUCCCUCCCUUCGUAGGAGUCCGGGCCUUGACAACAGAUGUCCCUUUUUCCACCCUGCAGCAGACAGCCAGGAGCACCUUGACACAGAGCGACAGCCUGCAAGGCUUCGGGGUCGUCUUCAAGGAAAGAGAAACUCAACCACUGUUUAAGUUGCAGGAGAAAAUAUUUCAUAAACAGAGACCGUUUGAAGUGAGUGGCUCCCUGAAUACAGGAAAGAGGUGUCCCACAUCCCCUACCCUGCCGGCUGGCUCUCGCCAUGGUUCUGCAAAGUAAGCAGAGCGCUGCAGUUGAUCGUCAAGGAUUCUGUCAUAUGGUCUACCAUUAAGGCCAUCUUGACUCAAGCUUUUUCCAUCAGUUAACUUAGUUUUGAAAAUGUUUGCAUACAUUAAAAUAAAAUAAAUUAGAGCUCUUAUUCAGAUGCAUUGCGUCACCAUCAGUAUAAGGUAACUCUAGACAUGACUAUAGGGACAGAAGAACAAAACCUG
rnacentral:lncRNA from 1 species